rnacentral:tRNA from 1 species
AAGGGUAUAGCUCAGUGGUAGAGCUCAUACCUAACAUGCAAGAGGUCCUGGGUUCAAUCCCCGGUACCUCCA